rnacentral:tRNA from 1 species
UUUGUUAAAGUGUUAAGCACUUAAAAAUUUGAUUUUUAAAGAGAUACUAAAAGUAUCUAACAAAAU